rnacentral:rRNA from 1 species
UACGUGGGGGGCAAGCGUUGUUCGGAAUUACUGGGCGUAAAGGGUUCGUAGGUGGCCUGCUAAGUCAGACGUGAAAUCCCUCAGCUUAACUGGGGAACUGCGUCUGAGACUGGGAGGCUUGAGUGCAGGAGAGGAACGCGGAAUUCCAGGUGUAGCGGUGAAAUGCGUAGAUAUCUGGAGGAACACCGGUGGCGAAGGCGGCGUUCUGGACUGCAACUGACACUGAUGAACGAAAGCCAGGGGAGCAAACGGG